rnacentral:rRNA from 1 species
GACGAACGCUGGCGGCAUGCCUAAUACAUGCAAGUCGAGCGAACAGAUGAAGUGCUUGCACUUCUGACGUUAGCGGCGAACGGGUGAGUAACACGUAAGGAAUCUACCUAUAAGCGGGGGAUAACAUUCGGAAACGGGUGCUAAUACCGCAUAAUAUCUUCUUCCGCAUGGAAGAAGAUUGAAAGACGGCUCUGCUGUCACUUAUAGAUGACCUUGCGGUGCAUUAGUUAGUUGGUGGGGUAACGGCCUACCAAGACGAUGAUGCAUAGCCGGCCAGGGAGGGUGAUCGGCCACAUAGGGACUGAGACGCGGCCCAAACUCCUACGGGAGGCAGCAGUAGAGAAUCUUCCGCAAUGGGCGAAAGCCUGACGGAGCAAUGCCGCGUGAGUGAAGAAGGCCUUCGGGUCGUAAACUCUGUUAUAAGAGAAGAACAAAUUGUAGAGUAACUGCUACAGUCUUGACGGUAUCUUAUCAGAAAGCCACGGCUAACUACGUGCCAGCAGCCGCCGUAA